rnacentral:ncRNA from 1 species
CAGCAUUCCGGAGAAGCCUGCGUAAAGCAGGUGCCGAAGGUGCAAGGCCGAAAGGCUAAAUCUCUCAGGCAAAAGGACGGAAAA